UACGAAACUAUUUAUCGUAAGCACGACGGGUAAUUAAGAGAUCGGGUUAAAGUGUAAUUAAGCCCUUGAGUUAAAAUGGAUUUUUUACCCUUUGAUGACUUAAUCAACUUGUUAAGGAAGGGAUUGAUGUUAGCUAUCCUUAUCAUUUUGACUUGAGAAAAGAAAAUAAACCCCAAAAUUUCUCCCUUUUCUCCAUGGAGGCCGAUCAUCAUCACCAUCACCAACGUUCAUCAUUUCUCCAUGGAAUUUGAAGAUUAUAGAGGCAAAAUGAUCAUAAGACAAUGAAGACCCAAGGUGUGUAUGAUGGAUUUGGAGCUAAGGUUAUGGAAUUUUGAUGAUGGUUCAUGAAGACUUUGAUUCGGUUACAAAGCCAAUACAUUAAGUGAAGACUCGACGAAGCGACUAUCGACAAGGCUCGACGGGAACGGAUCGAGAUGUCUUCGUGUUUAUUUGAAGAAUUUGGAUAGCAAGUGGGAUAGUAUGAUAUGAUUUGAAGAGUCAAGCUUCCGAAGUUUUAAUUCUCGGAAGUCAUUUGCUCAAGAAGUGAAAGAAGGUUUUCAUUCUAGCGGUCCGCAGUAGUCUAGAUGUUUUUUUUUCUAUGUAUUUGUCUAGUGCAUUUUAACUCUGAUAUUUUUGUAAAAUGGGGUCACAUGUAUUUUGAUAUAUGAAAAAUGAUUUGAUUUGCGAAAAAUUUACACAGGAUUUUAGGCUUGCUACGGGUUUCGGAGCUACCACUCCCAUUCCCUAGCGUC